rnacentral:lncRNA from 1 species
GCACAAACGGGAGCAGUGUGAGCCAAUAGGGUCGGACUUGUCCGGGUUGCUUGGUGCCUGAAUACCACAGCCAUGAGAGCAGAGCUCGGUGGCAAACACACAGUAAUGGAGAGGCAAGGAGCUGAUGAUGCUUUGCUCUCAAAAACUCCUUGGGAAGAGGAGCUCAACCACCAAGCUGUCCUGACACACAGAGGUCACAAAUAACUUGGGGCCUGAUGCCCAGAGUGUCCCUGAAAGCAUUGCACUGCUACCAUUUUGAUACUUUUACUGAAAUUCCUCAAGAAAGACAUGGCAGAAAAAUCGUAUUGGUCAGCACUAUGCAGUCUCAGGAGGUGUAACCUCAUUGUUAAGUUUUGAAGGGAAACUUCUAUUCAGAGAUGUCCAUUUCCAUAGCAGGGAGUUCAGUGCUGUAAUCAUCUGCCCCAUCUGUGCUCCCUCUGGAUCUAUUAUAGCGUUUAGAAGCAUGUCUUCUUUUAUUGCUUCUUGUAUUUCUGGUGGAGGCAAAAGCUUAUGAAACCAUAGGGAUAGCUUUGAAAAUGAAGUAUUCUUUUGCAAUUGAUGCUAUAUAGUACACCUGAUCCAGUGGGUGUGUUUGAAAUAUUGCUGGGUAACUUUCCUUUCUUGAGUUAGUCAGUUUUAUGGUCCUAACCUCACAGCUUGUGGAAAUUCCUUCGUCGCUGGCUGGCAAGCUCAACUUUAGAUAAAACUGUGAGUGGGCAAAUCUGCACAUCGUGGAACUUAAUACCCUGUGUGCAGCCCAGCAGAUGGAGUCAACUUGCAUACAAACAUUUCAGCUUUCUUUAAAGAGAUGAGCAAGCAAGACCUGCAAGUAGUAAGGCCAGAAAUGUAUGAAUUCACGAGUUUUUUCUGUGCUAUAAAAGCUUAGCAUCUAAAUAGCAGAUUUCCUUUGCUUUUAAUAGGAAUUUUAGGACAUUUUCCAUCUCCUGUGAUCAUCUUGCCUAGCAUAGAAGUUUUAGCAGUUUUUUGCUUGAGUGGGGUCUUUCUGGUUCACAUUUU